rnacentral:rRNA from 1 species
GAAUUGCAGAAUUCCGCGAAUCAUCGAGUCUUUGAACGCAAGUUGCGCCCGAGGCUUAUCCCGAGGGCAUGCCUGCCUGAGCGUCAC